AUCGAUUUUGUCGCUUUUGAGCUAGUCUACUCAACUGCUUCCAUGAUGACCAAGUGGUUGUAGAAUUGUUGCUGACCGUUCUUGAAUUGAUACAUGGCAGGGAUGGUUGGCGAUUGGAGAAAGUGCUGCUGAGGUCGUGGCACAACAUCACUGUUACCAAAUUUACCACUGUCAUGGACGGCAAGUCCAUUUAUUAUUUAUGUGAAGAAAAAAUACAACUAUCUCUUCUUGAUCUAAUUAUGCAUUUGAAUUGCGAUUAUGGUUUGUUUACCUCCAACAUCUCAGGGUUGUAUCUAACUAUUAUACCUAGCAUUCAUUCGAUGUACAUAUGCAGAUACCGGUAAAGCUAUUUAAAUGCAAGUGGAGCUAUACCACGCACUAUUGGCAUGGUUCAACUAGUAACUGAACAAAACCAAUGAGCAAAGCUCAUUAACUUGUUGCCUCCAGACAAAUUGAAAUGGAGAAAAGGGAAAAAAAUUCUUUUUGCAUUUAAUUAGGGUCUUUCAAAACGCAUGAAUGAUGAAAGAUCCAAACUGUGAUCAACCUGACUUUGAGAUUGAGAAUGGUUGGAUGAGAAAUCUUGGUUGUUGAUCUAGGACUCAUGAGGUUUGUGAAGAACCUGAAUUCCCUCUCAUUUCCCUUGCCCCAUCUCAUCUUUUCACCAGUUCAUUUACUGCCCAAAGUUUUUUUUCUUCAUCCAAAUGGGCUUUGAAUCUCUCUCUCACACAUGUCAAUCAGGGUGUAUAUACAUCGUAUAUGGCUAUUUUGGGUAUCAUGAACACAUUAAAAAAUUAGCCAGCUGUGCAGGAAUUAGUGAUAAACAUAGUUAUUAUAUAAUCAGAAGUGUAUACUCACAUAUCAUAAGGCACACACCAAUAUAUUCUCUUUAAAGGAACAUGCAUAUAAAUCAUCAUACAUUUCUUUACAAUGGCAAUACGAAAAAAACAGAUAGAAAAUGCAACAAUAAAAUUGAAUAAAAUUCCUUCGGACAAAACCAUGUGAACAUUAUCUAGUUUACCGUCACCAAAACACAUAUGUCAUGCUAAAAGAUAUCCAAAUCGAGUCGAAGCAUCACCACUCCAAAUCGUCUAGUUAAUUCAACUACUCAGCAAACUGGACCCAACUCCUCACUGGAAAUUACUUCUACAUGUUGCUAGUUGUUUUACCUUCUAUAUAUGUGAUAGCAUAUAGAAGUUACUCUUUUUAAUGGAAGAUUUCUUUUGCGUGUUACCUAUUUAGAUUCAGAUGAGUGUGAGACUUGUUUUUGGUUAAAAUACAACAAGAAUAGUGUUUAUGCCAUUGUAUUUGAUUUUGAAGUUACAGUUUGAUCGAUCUGUAGGCCGUGGCAUCUUCAUUCCUUUUGAGAAGGGCAGCAUGGCUAACGGCAUGCCAUUCGGAUGUAUCAUGUUAAGAAAGCUGGAUAUCCUCAUCAAUGUGGCAUGCAUCAGAACAUACUAGACUUGUCCUAACCCUUUGGCUAGUGUGAUUUUGAUCAGCGUAAUACACAGAGUCACAGAUCCUCAAUAGUCAUGCAACAACAUAGUAGCAUAUUCAAAAUGAUUCUGAAGAGUUCAUUACUUCGAGAGAUUCUCAACAUAUCAAAAUCUAGAAAAGUGUACACAUUAAAUUGUUUUAUUGAGCUUGUCGCUAAUAGUAUGUUGGGCUGGACAAAAAGCUAUCUCAUGGCUAGCUCGGCUCGGCUUGACUCAUUUCAAUUUCUUAAUGAGCCAAGUCACUGUUUUAGCUUGUUUGGGAUAACUAGCCAGCUCGAGCUAGCUCGUGAGUUCCUCGUGAGCUAAACGAACAUCAAAGUAAUUUUUAGAUUAUUUUAUACUUUGAUACUUAUAAUUUAAGCAAUCUUGAUCAUGAAAUUAUGGAGACAUGAAAUUAAAUUUAGAUUAUGUUUUUUAUAUUUAUAUUUUUAUGAUCAUUGUAAAUUUACAGGGCAAAGAAUCUAUAUAAAUGUUUGAUGUGGCUCACGAGCUUAACGAGAUAGCUCGAGUUGGCUAACGAGCCAAGCUGGUCUGCUAGGUAGCUGGUUUGCUAGCUCAUUCAGUUAACAAGCCGAGCCGAGCUAGCUCGUUAACCUAGCGAGCUAUUACAAGCUGGCUUGGCAUCCAGCCCUACAGCAUGCAUGCCAAAGAGCAGUUGCAUCUGGAAGAGCCUACACAUUGUUGUAUUCACCUUCUCGCUAAUAGUAUGCAUGCCAAAGAACGUACAGACCCUGCUCGAUCUGCCCUCUGCCAUCGCCGGCGGCGAACUGAUCCGCUCGAGGUGCCGUGGUCUCGCCGGCGUCCGGAGGCGUUGCCCCGUGAGACAGUCGAUCAGGUUGGCCGCUCAAAGAACCGGCCAUGGCAGCUUAGGGCUACGCACGCACACCAUUUCGAUCAGGUGGGCUUAAUUGGAGUACCUCUUCCCUUUCUCUCUGCCCCAGUUAUUAGGUUAAUAACGUGAUGUGGGCUUUACCUGAUGCUCUUUUUCUUUUUUUUUUCCCUUUUUUUUUGGCAUUCUCGUGUCUUCAAGGAGCUCGUGCAGAUCUAUUGGGAUUCCUUGCGUGCACUACAAUCAUUCUUUGAGACGGCAUUGACAUUUCUUUCAGUUUUCUAUUAAAAAAACAAAAUCAAGAGUGCGGGGUGGUAGUUUGUUUUUAAAUAGUAUAUUUAUUUGUAAACAAAAUAAUGUUUCUAAAUAUUUUUAUAUGUGUUCUGAGCGAUCCACAGUAAAGGCUGAAAAUAAACUAAUUUAAAUUUUGGCUUAUAAUUAUAAGCAGAAGUGAAAAGACAAUGGGGCGUGAGAUUGAGUGUUAACAGCCUAAGACAUGAAUUUUGGGAGGUCAAUAUGUGGCAUGAUGUCCAUGAUGCGCUAACACCGAGCUGAUCAAAAGAUAGAAAAGCCAACAUGAAAAGCAGGAGAUGACCAACUCGCUUUUAUUAUGCUUGUCCGCGAUAUCCAAUUGAUGCAAGGGUAAGGCUAUUCUAGGAUAUCUUUUGUCUAUAUAUGUCCGUAGGGUUCCCUUGCCGCGGUCCCUUUACCGCGAUAACUACGGUAAUCAGGGCUCUGGAGGUGCAAUAACGAAAAGCCUAUAAUUUGGAGUUUAAAUUUGAGGAAAAUUCAAAAAUUUUGAGGAAAUUUAAAGAAAAAAUAUAUGUCGUAGAGGUUGAUAUAUAAUGUAGUUUUGUCAAAGGAAUUUAUAAAAAAACAUUUUCCGGUGUAAUUAAAAAUCAGAAGUGAGAAAUCCAGGAAAAAAAAUGAAAAACGUCACUAUUCAUGGCAUGGGCCAAUAGGGCCCAAGAUGGGUGGGGACCAAAAUAUCUGUCCCCCAUCCAUGGGUAGACCACAUCAUCCUACUGGUUUCUAUCCGAAGAAAGCUUGCGCGACCGCGCAUCCCGGCGCCAGAUCCACCGCCGCUGACACUACGAGGGGAGAAACCGCGAGGGAGAGGGCGGAAACUAUGGUGGCAGAGGCGGUUACCGUCGACGCUGGGCGGUACACGAUUCCUAGUUGAGCCGGUCGCGAGCUACCGAAUUUUGAGUUUUCCGUCCAAGCCUAGUCACAAAUGUAGCUACAAAAUAUUUUCCUAUUUUUUUUUCAAGUUUUUAAGAUUUUUUCCAAAUUAUUUUGCAUUUCACAUGUGGCGGGUUGUACACGCAGCGGUAACCGCAACAAGCCGUGCAGGAAACCGCAUUUACCGCGGGAUUUGAAUUCAAAUAUUUUGGAUUCAAAUUUAUCACGGUUUCGGCAGCGUCCACGGUAACCGCAUGAAAAACCAUCUGUCCGCCGUCCUGCGGCAUAGAUGGCUUGCACGGUUAAGUGAACCCUAUAUGUCAGUAUGUCACUACUUAAAAAUGGGUUUUAUAAAUGGCCAAGAUUUAUUUUCUAUCUUCUUUUCACAGACGACUCUUUAAUAGACUUAUAAAAACAAAAUAGGUGUGUCGCCAAAAAUAAUUAUUCCUACUAGUUUGUACUUUAGCACAGACUUAAGAGACAAAAUAGGCUUUACUGAACUUUUGUUAUAAUUAUAACAACUGACCGUGUUUCUUUGUUCCCUGUUUCUUUUCUCGUUUUAUGAUAUAAUGCUGUAGGAUUCAUUUUUCAAUGUGAAGUUGAGGUUUAUUGGUCUACCCUUGUAUAGCUUGUCACUUUUUUUAGGAAUUUUUCACUUUUCACGUCGACCAUCUCAUUCUCAAAAUAAAUAAUGGGGUUAAAGCACACAAUUUUGUAGCUAGAUGGGUCCAACUAACAAAUUAAACUAGCAAGUAGCAACAAUGCUUCGUUCUUAAUUUAGAGCAGAAAUGUAUGAUCAUUAAUUUUGACAUACAUGGGACCUAAUGUCAAGCUCAUUUCCUAGGCCAUCAGUGAUUAAUUUAGUAGCAGAUUUAUACCCGUCUUUAGCUAUAAUGUUUUUGGUAGUUUAAUUAGGACCACACAUUCCAACCAAAACACAUCCUACCAAUUAAAAGAUAUGAUAACAAUGGGACACAAAAAGUUCUAUCCAACUAUGGCAUCAACAUGGUGAUAGGCUUGCUACAAAGUGAUCAUGUAUGACGAGUCAUGUUCUCUGCAAACUUUCAUAACACAGUUUCACACAGUAGUAAUAAAAAGCAAUUGACUCCAGCUCACUCAUAAUUUAAUGGGGCAAUUGCAAAUCUGACCCUACCUUAAUGGCAAAACUACAGAUUUUACCUUACUUUUUCAGCUUUGCAGAUUUGACCCUGUUUAUCAAAAAUGAACCAGCCGAAUGACCCUGCUCCGUAAAGGCCAUUUAACUGUGUUAAAUUGAGGGCAACUUGACCGAUUUGCCCUUGCUCUUUUGACCAUAUUGUAGGUUAACUUUUAGGAAAUAAAUAUAAAUAUUUAUUCAGGAACAUUGGAAUAAAGAUUGAAAUAUAUUUGAUAGAUUUGAACUUAAAUUAAUGUAAUUCGAAAUUUGUUAUUUAUUUGAUAGAUUUAGGUUAGUUUGAUAUAUAUAAUUCUAAUUUUGAUAAAUUUUAUAGCACACAACCUCAGAUUUUAUUGAAUUGAAAUAGCUGAAUGUAAUAGGUACAAUCAUUAUAGAGGAUUUUACAAAAAUUUGACAGCGUAAUAAAAUCUCAAGCCUGUCUCUCCCUUCUCUCUUGUUUUCUUUUCUUUUUUUCCUCUCCUCUCUUUCUCUUUCUUCUUUCUUCUUUCUUUCUUCUCCCUAGUUCACACAGCGGCAGCAGGGGGCGAUGCAGUACAACGGCGGCAGGGGGCGACGCAGUACAGCGGCACGCUGCCGGCGGACGAGAGGACGACGCACGAGUGGUGCAUGGCCGGGUACGACCUCGCCGUCCGCUUCAUGGGCCGCGUCGCCGACGACCUGGUGAGCUACGAGGCGGCGGUGCGCCUGAAGAACGACGUCGCCGGCAGCCUGAGCGACAUGGACGCGUGCAGGAGGAAGUUGUUCGUCUACCCGGCGUCGUCGUUGUACGGCCGGAACCUCCCCAACUGCUGCCGCCGCCGACGGCACCGCCUCCCCCAACUGCCCGCCACCGCGGCCUCCGCCCACAGCCCGACGACGCCGCCGCCUCCUCCCUCAGCUCGCUCGGCGCCGCCUCCACCCACGGGGUGAAUGACUUGAGAGAGAGAGGAAGAUAUGACUUAGGGGCAUAAUAGUCCAUUCAUAAUUCAAAUUUAUUUUUUUAUUCCGUUUAUCCUAAACUCUAACGGCAUGCAUCAACCAGGGUUAGAUGGUAGGUUCGCUUUUGAAAAAGAAUGCCAAAUUUGCAAAGUUAAAAAAGAAUGGUCAGAUCCAUAAUUAACCUUCAAAGUAAGAUUAGAUAUGCAAUUGUCUCUAAUUUAAUUUACUUCAUUUUCUUCUGUGCUGCAAGUCACUGAUAAUUUAAUAUAUAAUAUUCCAUGUAUGAUUAGUUUCAUGACGAUUUUGUCUCUUUUUAUCUAGUCUAUUCAACUGCUUCCACGACGACCGGUUGGUUGUAGAAUUGGUGCUAACCGUUCUUGAAUUAAUCCAUGACAAGGAUGGUCGGUGAUCAGAGAAAUUGUUGCCGAGUUUAUGGUACAGUGUCACUAUUACACUAUUACUGAAUUUGGCACCGUCGAGGAUGGCAAGACCACUUAUCCCACUUAUUUAUUAUUUAUAUGAAGACAAAAUACAACUAUCUCUUCUUGAUCUAAUUAUACAUUUGAAUUACGAUUAUGGUUUGUUUACCUCCAUCUCAGGUUGGUAUCUAAUUAUUAUACCUAGCAUUCAUUCGAUG
rnacentral:lncRNA from 1 species